rnacentral:rRNA from 2 species
GGGUGGUAAUGCCGGAUGUUCCAGUUGAUCGCAUGGUCUUCUGGGAAAGCUUUCGCGGUAUGGGAUGGGGUCGCGUCCUAUCAGCUUGACGGCGGGGUAACGGCCCACCGUGGCUUCGACGGGUAGCCGGCCUGAGAGGGCGACCGGCCACAUUGGGACUGAGAUACGGCCCAGACUCCUACGGGAGGCAGCAGUGGGGAAUAUUGCACAAUGGGCGCAAGCCUGAUGCAGCGACGCCGCGUGAGGGAUGGAGGCCUUCGGGUUGUAAACCUCUUUUAUCGGGGAGCAAGCGUGAGUGAGUUUACCCGUUGAAUAAGCACCGGCUAACUACGUGCCAGCAGCCGCGGUAAUACGUAGGGUGCAAGCGUUAUCCGGAAUUAUUGGGCGUAAAGGGCUCGUAGGCGGUUCGUCGCGUCCGGUGUGAAAGUCCAUCGCUUAACGGUGGAUCCGCGCCGGGUACGGGCGGGCUUGAGUGCGGUAGGGGAGACUGGAAUUCCCGGUGUAACGGUGGAAUGUGUAGAUAUCG